UACGUAGGGUGCGAGCGUUGUCCGGAAUUAUUGGGCGUAAAGCGCACGUAGGCGGUUUGUUAAGUCGGAUGUGAAAUCCCUCGGCUCAACUGAGGAAGUGCAUCCGAAACUGGCAAGCUUGAGUACGAAAGAGGGUCGCGGAAUUCCCGGUGUAGAGGUGAAAUGCGUAGAUAUCGGGAGGAACACCGGUGGCGAAGGCGGCGACCUGGGUCGAUACUGACGCUGAGGUGCGAAAGCGUGGGGAGCAAACAGG
rnacentral:rRNA from 1 species